rnacentral:rRNA from 1 species
GGAAUAUUGCGCAAUGGGGGAAACCCUGACGCAGCGACGCCGCGUGGGUGAGGAAGGCUUUCGGGUCGUAAAACCCUGUCAGAAGGGAAGAAAUGCUUAUGGGCUAAUACCUUGUAAGUUUGACGGUACCUUCAAAGGAAGCACCGGCUAACUCCGUGCCAGCAGCCGCGGUAAUACGGAGGGUGCAAGCGUUGUUCGGAAUCACUGGGCGUAAAGGGCGCGUAGGCGGCUUGGCAAGUCAGAUGUGAAAGCCCACGGCUUAACCGUGGAAGUGCAUUUGAAACUGCUUGGCUUGAGUAUCAGAGGGGAAAGUGGAAUUCCCGGUGUAGAGGUGAAAUUCGUAGAUAUCGGGAGGAAUACCGGUGGCGAAGGCGACUUUCUGGCUGAAUACUGACGCUGAGGCGCGAAAGCGUGGGGAGCAAACAGGAUUA